rnacentral:rRNA from 1 species
AACGAACGCUGGCGGCAGGCUUAACACAUGCAAGUCGAGCGCAUCCUUCGGGGUGAGCGGCAGACGGGUGAGUAACGCGUGGGAACGUACCCUUUCCUCUGGAAUAGCUCCGGGAAACUGGAAUUAAUACCGUAUACGCCCUUAGGGGGCAAGAUUUAUCGGGGAAGGAUCGGCCCGCGUUGGAUUAGCUAGUUGGUGGGGUAAAGGCCUACCAAGGCGACGAUCCAUAUCUGGUCUGAGAGGAUGCUCAGCAACAUUGGGACUGAGACACGGCCCAAACUCCUACUGGAGGCAGCAGUGGGGAAUAUUGGACAAUGGGCGCAAGCCUGAUCCAGCCAUGCCGCGUGAGUGAUGAAUGCCUUAGGGUUGUAAAGCUCUUUCAGUAGGGAAGAUAAUGACGGUACCUACAGAAGUAGCCCCGGCUAACUUCGUGCCAGCCGCCGCCGUAA